rnacentral:rRNA from 1 species
AUUCCCCGUUACCCGUUGCAACCAUGGUAAGCCUCAAAGAUUAACCCAUGCAUGUCUAAGUAUAAGCAACUAUACCGGGAAACUGCGAAUGGCUCCUUAAAUCGGUUAUUGUUUAUUUGAUAGUACCUUGAUACAUGGAUAACCGUGGUAAUUCUAGAGUUAAUACAUGUUAAAAACCUCGGCUUCGGAGAGGGGUGUAUUUAUUAGAUAAAAAACGCAUUGCCCUUCUGGGGCUCUCUUGGUGAAUCAGUAAUAACUUAUACGAAUCGCCAUGGCCCUUGCGCCCGGCGGAUGGUUCAUUCAAAUUUCUGCCCCUAUCAAACCUUUCGAUGUAGAUGCACAAGCAUAUGACUAC